GAAAUGCGAUAAGUAAUGUGAAUUGCAGAAUUCAGUGAAUCAUCGAAUCUUUGAACGCACAUUGCGCCCGCCAGUAUUCUGGCGGGCAUGCCUGUUCGAGCGUCAUUACAACCCUCAGGCCCCCGGGCCUGGCGUUGGGGAUCGGCGGAAGCCCCCUGCGGGCACAACGCCGUCCCCCAAAUACAGUGGCGGUCCCGCCGCAGCUUCCAUUGCGUAGUAGCUAACACCUCGCAACUGGAGAGCGGCGCGGCCACGCCGUAAAACACCCAACUUCUGAAUGUUGACCUCGAAUCAGGUAGGAAUACCCGCUGAACAUAAGC
rnacentral:misc_RNA from 1 species